rnacentral:rRNA from 1 species
CACAGCAACAAGGGGAAAGAGAGUAGCUAAACUGGUCCUGUAGCGUUGAAGGGGAUAGAAGGAGUGUUUAGUGUCGGUGGCGACGUGUGUUGCCGGUGGUUAGCGGCGACAUUCAGCUCUCCUCCUUCCGCGACGACGCUCCUCAGGACCCCUUCCCUCCACGACACAAAAACCGGCCGCCAAAAACCACCGCUUAGACCACGCCUCCUGGGGCUGCCGUCGACCGGGCUCGGUUACCUCUGUGGUCGUGCUCCACACUACGCCCCGCUAUUGCCGCUGAGCUCCACGGCUCACGAUGUUGGCGCAGCACGGACCUCGAUCCUGGCCGCACGGCUCAACGCCCCCGUACGACCUUGGCCGCUCCGCCUCACGGUGGUGGCCGUUUCUCGCCACGAAGUGGGCCUAAGCUGCUCUCGACGGUAGCCGACGUUAAAAACGAUGUUGAUCCAAAAACAAAACGAGCUUAAUCACUAAAAAAAACGUUCCUAAACAUUAACCCCCACGAAGAACGACCUUGGUCGAGAUUCAAAACGACGAUGGUAGAUACUAAAAACGAUGAUGGUAUAUACUAAAACGAUGAUGUUAGAAAGUCUAAAAACGAUGGCGGGCAGAAACUAAAACCGACUUUGCUCAAAGUUUAAAAACGAUGGUGGCGGGAAACAAAAACGACGAUGGCAUAAACUAAAAACGAUGGUGAGAAAGAAAAACUAAAAAAACAAUCUAAGGAGAAAAAACGACCUUGGUAGCUUCAUAAAACGACCUCGACCAACUAAGGUAUCGUGCCGGGACUGCCGGCGAAAAGAAGGGAGCACGCUCUACACGGUCCCCUCGAUGCUUUAACCGUUUUGGACCUUGGCCACGUGUUAAAACAACCUUAGCCGCGGUUUAAAACGACCUUGGCCAAUGCCGCUGCCGAUGCCAUCCUCGUUGCUUGAUCGCUCCUACAAAGUUGGACGUCCGAAAAAACGACCUUGGCUGCCGCACAAAACGAUGUACCCCUGUCUGUGUGCGCCCCGUGCUCGCUACGCUGGUAGUUCGGCCGCUCCCCCAGGCCGCCCGACGCGACGGCACGUCACCGACGCUCGGCUGCUCUCCGCGGUAGCUCGGUCUCCGCUUUCCGGCGCCCCCUUGGUGCUCGAUCAUCCCUUACACACGCCGACCGCAAAGAGCGCUCUUCUUUCCCGACCGCAAAGAGCGCUCUUCUCUCCCUGCACGCGCUCCGUUAGCACACCAGGUCCCGCGCACGUAGCCCGCCGACGCGCAGCUGAUCAUGACGGGUAAAGGUUUUCCUAAGGGCGCUCUUCUUCCGGCGCUGCGUACCCGCUUAGUUCGGCUAUCAUAUGUUCAUGCAUGCAAAAUUUUGCCAACGACCGAGACCGCACCGUCGUGCGUGCGGCAGCGCACCACGGCUAGACUUCCGUCUUUUCCCCCGGCUGUCCGCAUAGCGUCGUGGACGCGGGCGUAGUGGCAGGGGGCCUUUGGUAAAAACGUCGAAUCGAGGUCAGGGGACGCUGUCGGAUGUCGAUGAGGGGACAAAUUUCCCGCCACACCCCCUCCUCCUCUUCGUUCAGGCGGUCGACGUCGAUGAGGACGACGAACGAAGGGGGGACAGCGGCCAGCUUCCUCUACCCCUCCGAUGAGGGCGACCGCGACGAGCAGGAGGAGAGACGGCGGCGGCGACGGGGGGUCCAAGCCAAGAAGAGCAGAAUAGACUUGCUCUAGGGUGGAGACGACGUCUAAACCAUCAUCAUCAGCUCGCGUCGCUUGGAGCCUUCGAAUCACCCACUGCUGGACAGGAGGCGCUUCGCGCUUGCUUAGGUGGUGGGGCCUGGACUACCUCCCCGGAGCCCGGAGGGCGCGGCACAACGUCGAUCUACCGCUCGGGCAGGAGACUAUCUGACUAUGACUUUUUGCUUAUCGAACCUUGCUUACAAGCUAGGGAAGUAGGGUACAAAAAGAGACGAACCCUAUUUUACACGGGUGGGGAUGAUCGUAAUUCCUUAGUCAGUACUACAAUGCGUCAACCGACUUAGUGUAGGUACAAACGAAAUUGUACACAAACAUGGACGUCGAGCAGCCUCGACGCUCCCCUCUGGUAAGGGAUGGUUAUUAUGUCGAUCGCCCUCGUCGGUUCCGUCUCGUAAGGGAUCCUUAGUAGGUCUUCCUGUAGUAAGUCUGCCAGUUGUUCGUAGGGUUACGGCCCACCUGCCGACCUGUGUUAGGGAUGGAGCGUUUGAUAUGAUAACUCGUUAAAUUCGUAUAGGACCCUCACUUCGGUUGCGGAGGUCCAAAUGACCGACCACAAGGUUGGUUUUGAAUAAGAUGUAGUCUUUUCCUCCUAGAGGGUUUCCUCAAGCUGCGGUCUAGAUUUACCAGACCGACGUCGUGCUAGCCCUUUUAUGAACUAGUUCCAGUGACACCACGCACAACCCGGAAACCACGACACCUCACGGACGUUCUAGCAAAGACGUAAGUAGUGCCGCACUUGCAAAGUGAAAGACAGUUACUGUAUCACCGAACGACACCCAAAGACACACCGCUACCAACACUCCCUCCUAUAGGAUAGAAGCGUACCGUUAUGAAGCAGCUCUUGCCACAACAAUGACUGCUCACGCUAGGUAAGAAACUAGUCCAACCGACGGUCGUAGGACCUACGCUUGGACGAAUAGGAUGUGGACACACACUUUUCUUUACGUUCCAAGUCUUGGUUCAAACCCUCCUUUUCUUUGUAAAGUCGUAGCUACGUAUGGUUCAUUUGAGACUAGGUGUACUGUAGUACCGUCUCCAGAUGUUCUUACCGGGACAUCUUCAAAGAAAGUAUUAAAUACUCCUGAAACGUGUGAUGUUCAGUCCACAAAUGUUCGUUUAGUGUCCAUCCUACCACCCUCCAGUACGGCGGUUUAACUAACCUACCCCUUGUUCACUACGACCGCUCCUAAUGACCGAAGAACGUUUAGUCACCUUGUCUCCUACCCCGCUACUACCCAUGAAGUUCCAGUAUUCCCCGUGCUUACUUACACCGUAACUUCCUCUACAAUUACGGCCAUACGGGAGCUGUUUCUUGUAGCGCCCAUCGCGGAAACGUUACACUUCAGACUCGCCGCGGAAAGGAGACAACGUCAACCUUAAUCCCUAAAAGGAUAGUUUAAUUCUGGGAGAAACUAAGUUGCCUAAAAGUAUCCUGAUCGUUUAUACGGGCACGCAACGUUGCCCUCUUUUUGUUAGUCUAAUACGUCUAAUAUAGUCCUACUCUAUUCCUGAAAAUUUUACAGUAAAGAAUUUGAUGUAGACUCAUUACAGUAAUACUCUAUUCCCUGAAGAUUUUUCAGUAAAGUUUUUGACUUUACACUACCACAGUAGCACUGAACUAAAGGAUUCCGUGGUGUUGCAAAAAAAACCGACUCGUUUGAUGUAACUACCUGGAACGAACUUGAUCUGACUACUUACUACACAGAGCGGAACUGGACCGUAGCGCCGCAAAAGGUACUGGUC